CCCUAAGUAGAGAGGCCCCGUCCAGCAGCCUGCAGGAUGGACCAGCAUGGGCAGUAUAAGUUGAAACAAGACAGAGGAAGAGCUCCAGCAGCCCUGGGAGAGCCUGGAAGAGGGCUUCAGCAGUGAUCGGCUUAGCAAGGACGCUGAUCCUCUCCUGCCUUCCAGACAGACCUAGGACCUGGCAAUCCCGCUCAGCAAUGGUAGUUCCUGCGGAGACCCUCACUUGCCCUGCUCCUCUGUAGCUUCCCUGCAAUAAAGUCAAGCCGAUUUUGCUGGCGAUA